rnacentral:rRNA from 1 species
GCGGAGGAAAAGAAACCAACAGGGAUUGCCCUAGUAACGGCGAGUGAAGCGGCAACAGCUCAAAUUUGAAAUCUGGCCUCGGCCCGAGUUGUAAUUUGCAGAGGAAGCUUUAGGCGCGGCACCAACUGAGUCCCCUGGAACGGGGCGCCAUAGAGGGUGAGAGCCCCGUAUAGUUGGACGCCUAGCCUGUGUAAAGCUCCUUCGACGAGUCGAGUAGUUUGGGAAUGCUGCUCAAAAUGGGAGGUAAAUUUCUUCUAAAGCUAAAUACCGGCCAGAGACCGAUAGCGCACAAGUAGAGUGAUCGAAAGAUGAAAAGCACUUUGAAAAGAGGGUUAAAUAGCACGUGAAAUUGUUGAAAGGGAAGCGCUUGUGACCAGACUUGCGCCGGGCGGAUCAUCCGGUGUUCUCACCGGUGCACUCCGCCCGGCUCAGGCCAGCAUCGGUUCUCGCGGGGGGAUAAAGGCCUCGGGAACGUAGCUCCUCCGGGAGUGUUAUAGCCCGGGGCGCAAUGCCCUCGCGGGGACCGAGGUUCGCGCAUCUGCAAGGAUGCUGGCGUAAUGGUCAUCAGCGACCCGUCUUGAAACACGGACCAAGGAGUCAAGGUUUUGCGCGAGUGUUUGGGUGUCAAACCCGCACGCGUAAUGAAAGUGAACGUAGGUGAGAGCUUCGGCGCAUCAUCGACCGAUCCUGAUGUUUUCGGAUGGAUUUGAGUAGGAGCGUUAAGCCUUGGACCCGAAAGAUGGUGAACUAUGCUUGGAUAGGGUGAAGCCAGAGGAAACUCUGGUGGAGGCUCGCAGCGGUUCUGACGUGCAAAUCGAUCGUCAAAUCUGAGCAUGGGGGCGAAAGA